GCCUAGUUAGCUUGUUUAGUAGCGCGUCUGCCUUGUAAGCACUGGGCCGCGGGUUCGAUUCCCGCCCGGGGUG
rfam:Asian citrus Psyllid, Diaphorina citri - Florida Strain, whole genome shotgun sequence.